CAACCCUCAAGCCCUGGUUGCUUGGUGUUGGGAGCCUGCCGUAAGACGCAGCUCCCCAAAGCUAGCUGGCAGAGCUAGGGUGUGCUCUAAGCGUAGUAGAUUUCUUCUCGCUCUGGAAGCCGCCCCGGCCCUCUCGCCAUUAAAGCCCCAAAUUUUUCUAU
rnacentral:misc_RNA from 1 species